AUACGAGAUACAUAAUACAACUCCACCCAGAAUAAGUGUCACAAUGUCACGGACUAUCUAUGAAUACUAGAAAUAGUGGUCUGAACAAGAAAAUACAAAUCUGUCUCACAAAUAGAUAAAAUAGAAGGAAAUAUUAUAGAAGGGGACGUCAAGGCUUGCGGACGCCUGUAGGACUACCUCGGGUCUCCACUAGACUAAAGACAGCAACCUCGAACUAUGGUCCGUAGGGUCAAGUACCGAGAUAUGCACAAAAGAGUGCAGAGUGUAGUAUCAGUACAACCGACCCCAUGUACUGAGUAAGUGUUGAGCCUAAGCUCGACGAAGUAGUGACGAGGCUAGGAUGCGACAACCACAUAAACCUGUGCAAUUAAAUCAUAUACGAGAAGCCAUAAUAAAAAGAAUGAAACAUAAUAAGACGGAAAAAGGGGAAACAUGCUGAGGGGGGGAUAUCAGGUUAUGACAAUGAUAAAGUAAAGCGAAAAAGUAAAAUCAAGCUAGAAGAGACGGAAAUGACAACAUAGUAACAAGUGCACGACAUCACCCUUCAUCCUUUUACUGUCAUCCUCACCAUAGAUCUCAACAAAAACUGCACGGCAUCACCCUUCGUGCUUCUACACUCUCAUAAUCAUGGCACGACAAUCACCCUUCGUGCUUUUACUUUCAAUACUAUGGCACGACAUCACCCUUCGUGCAUUAACACUCACAAUAUUGGCACGACAUCACCCUUCGUGCAUUAACACUCACUCACAAUAUCGUGCACGGCAUCACCCUUAGUGCUUUACACUCUUCCUCACCCAAACAAAUGAAAUAAAUAAUAUCCCGGCAAGGGAAUCCAUAAUAGAAAUAAUAUCGUCCUGGCAAGGGAGUCAACAAUAGAAACAACAUAAUCCCGGCAAGGGAAUCAGGUAUAACCAAUCUAGUUUCAACAGUUACUUCACAUAAUAAACCUCAACUUGAGCCAAUAUUUGACAAAUGGUCAAUUACCAAGAAUUUACCAUAAGUCUUGUUCCAUAGUGUUAAUCAUCAAUUUAAGCUUGAACAAUACAUAGUGAAAUCACAACAAUAUUAAUAUAAGACUCACGGGCAUGCUUGACUCCAACGUAUAGAUACUCGUCACCUCACCUAUACGUCAUACUCGACACUAACACAUAGCAAAUAAGACACAACACCUAUUACCUCAAGCUAAGGUUAGAUCAAACACUUACCUCGAAUUCUAUGACCAAACUCAAGCCUCAAAUACCGCUUUCCCUUUAGAUUCCACUUACCAUUCACUUGUAUCUAGCCAAUAUUAACUUAUUAACAUUAAUUGAAGCCAAUGAAACCAAUUCGAAUGAAAAAUUACAGAUUUCCCAACAUUCUUCCAAAAAGGUAAAAUUUCGACCCGAGCCUGCCUGGUCAAAACUCGAGGUUCAAACCAAAACUCGUUCACCCAUUCACCCACGAGCCCAAAUAUGCAAUUAAUUUCGGAAUUCGACCCCAAAUCAAGGUAUAAAUCCCCAAAUUUGUAAAAUCCCCCAAUUCUCCUAAAAUCACUAAUUUCUACCAUUAAAGAAGAAGAUUUAGGCUUAGAAAUCUAACGGGUGUCGAUGGAAAAUGAAAGAAAUGGGUUUAAGAACACAUACCUAUGAUUUGGUUUUGAAAUUUCUCUUCACAAAUCGCCUAAGGUCAGAUUCUAGGGAAGGAGAUAAAUUUUUUUGAAGAAAUCCCGACAUAGGUUCUGUUUUAAUUCGCUGGAAAGGUCUUCUUCGCAGUCGUGAGAAGCCUGUCGCGUUCGCGAAGCAUUGGCUAGAAGAGCCUUCGCAUUCGCGAGAUACUGUAUGCUUUCGUAAAGGUUCACCCCUGACCUUCACGUGCCAAUCGCCGCGUUCGCGUAGAGUAUUUUCCCUCCUCCCCCAGGUCCCUGCCAGAAAGGCCUUCGCGUUUGCGAUAGCCAGGUCGCAUUCGCAACCUAUGCCUCGCAUUCGCAUAGAAGGAAUUUCCUUCAGACAAUUUUUAUUCUCCGUGUUCACGAGAGUUCCUUCGCAAACGUGCAGAAGGAACCAUCUGUGCACCUGCAAUAGCAAAAACAAUAGAAAUCUAAGUCCAAAACAUCCCGAAACCUAUCUGAAACUCACCUGAGCCCUCGGGACUCCAAACCGAACAUGCACACCACCCUAAAAACACCAUACAGACUUAAUUGGGUGAUUAAAUCGCCAAAAUAACGCCUAGAAAUACGAGUUUACCAUCAAAAUCAAAGAAAAAUCUCAAGAACUCUUAAAGUUUCCAUUUCACAACCAAGGGUCCGAUUCACGUCAUAUGAAUUCCGUUUCUUAACAAAUUUUACACGCAUAAUUUAAAUACCAUAUUAAACUUGUACCGGGCUCUAGAACCAAAAUUCAAGCCCGAUACCAUCAAAUUCAAACAUAUUCAAAUUUCCAUAAACUUUUAUAUUUUCAGCUAAAUAAUUUCUUUCGAAAAUUUAUUUCUCGGUCUGGGGACAUCGGAAUUCAAUUCCGGGCAUACGACCAAGUCUCACAUUUUCCCACGGACCCUCCGGGACCGUCGAAUCUCAGGUCCAGGUCCGUUUACACAAAAUGUUGACCGAAGUCAACUUAAAUUCAAUUUUAAAGGCAAAAUUAGCAUUUCUCUCAAUUUUACAGAUAACGGCUUUUCAGAUAUAUGCCCGGACUAUGCACGCGAAUCGAGGUGAGACAAAAAGAGGCUUUUAAGUUCUUGGAACACAUAUUUGACUUUUAAAAAAAAAAUGAUCUUUUGGGUCAUCACAUUCUCCACCUCUAAAAUAAUCGUUCAUCCUCGAACGGACUUAGAAAAGUACCUGAGUCGGGGAAAAGAUGGGGAUAUUGGCUCCACAUAUCGGACACGGACUCCCUGGUAGCUACCUCGGCAGGCUGACCUUUCCAUUGCACACGAACAGAAGGGAAAUUCUUCGAUCACAACUGAUGAACCUGCCGGUCUAGAAUAGCUACCGGCUCCUCCUCAUAGGUCAAGUCCUUGUCCAACUGGACAGUGCUGAAGUCUAACACGUGGGAUGGAUCACCGUGAUACUUCCGAAGCAUGGACACAUGAAACACUGGAUGCACAAGUGAUAAGCUCGGCGUCAACGCAAGUCUGUAAGCCACCUUUCCCACUCUAUCAAGGAUCUCAAAAGGCCUGAUGAACCUAGGGCUUAGCUUGCCAUUCUUCACAAAUCUCAUCACGCCCUUCAUGGGCGAUACCCGAAGCAACACUCGCUCUGCGACCAUGAAUGCCACAUCUCGAACCGUGCGGUCGGCAUAACUCUUCUUCCUUGAUUGAGCUGUACGAAGCAUAUCCUGGAUGAUCUUAACCUUCUCCAAGGCAUCCUGAACUAAAUUUGUACCCAACAACCGAGCCUCUCCCAGCUCAAACUGCCCAACCGGCGAUCGACACACCCUACCAUAUAAAGCCUCAUAGGGAGCCAUCUGGAUGCUCGAUUAGUAACUGUUAUUGUAGGUAAACUCUGCUAAUGGUAAGAACUGAUCCUAAGAAACUCUAAAGUCAAUAACACAUGCUUGGAGAAUAUCCUCCAAAAUCUGAACAGUACACUUGGACUGUCCGUCAGUCUGAGGAUGAAAUGUGCUCAACUCGGCCCGUGUACCCAACUGACGCUAUACUGCCCUCUAGAAAUGCGAGGUAAACUGCGUACCUCAGUCUAAAAUAAUAGCCACGGGCACACCAUGAAGAGAACAAUCUCCCAAAUAUAGAUCUCAGUCAAUUGCUUCGAAGAAUAGGAAACUGCCACAGGAAUGAAAUACGCUGACUUGGUUAGCCUAUCCAUAAUAACCCAUACUGCAUCAAACAUCCUCUGAGUCCGUGAGAGUCCAAUAACGAAAUCCACAGUGAUACGCACCCACUUCCACUAAGGAAUCUCGAUUUUAUGAAAUAAACCACCAGGUCUCUGAUGCUCGUACUUUACAUGUUGCCAAUUCAAACACCAAGUUACAUACACAACGAUAUCCUUCAUCAUCCUCCUCUACCAAUAAUGCUGCCGCAAAUCCUAAUACAUCUUAACGGUGCCCGGAUGUGCCAUGACCCAAACUGAUGGGCCAUGACGAGCACCCGAUAAUUACUUAACCGAGUACCAACAUAACGUAUCUUUUCAUGUCAUACUAUCAUAGAUAAUUGAACCAGAGAGGUUUUCAUGAAAUAGGUAGAAUACAACAUGUAAUACAACCUUAUACAUAAGAUAUAUGGGCCUCUAAGAGCAAAAUAACCAUUCGUAUAUUGAACAUAGGCAGACAAAGCCAUACAAAAUAACCGAAUACACAUCUAAAUCAUACUGACCAAACAAGCAACUCCGAAGCAAAUGGAGUGCACCAACAUCUUCCGCUAAGCAGAUCCCCUACUUGGAGGACUCUCGACCUAUCUAUCAAGGACCUGCGAGCAUGAACGCAGAGUCACCAGGCAAAAGGGACGUCAGUAUGAAUAAUGUACCAAGUAUGUAAGGCACAUAAAUAAGUACAUAACAAACAUGGAGGAAAUGUAGAGUAAAUGACUCCACCUGUAAGUCUGAAUAACUUUGUAAAUCAUGAAAUAAUUAUAGUAUUAUACAUAUGCGUAUGAAUGUCAUGUCUUGCAUAGGUACAUGUUUCAUAACAUCAUUAGCCUCUGAGGGUGUCCCAUCAUAUCAUCUCGGCCACUGUGGGCAAAAUCAUCAACGUAUAAUGCCAUAANNNNNNNNNNNNNNNNNNNNNNNNNAUGCAUGAAAAGUACAUUAAUAAAAUCUUUCGGAAUGUCAUAACACCAUUUUGUCUUUGAAUAAUAUCAUAAAGUAAACUCUUUUCAACUUUCGUAUUUUUCUAAGACCCAUGAACAGAUGAUAGAAUAUUAUGACACAUGGAAAUUCAUGAACAUAGAUAGUUCUAAUACUUUUAUGAAUAGAGUCAUAUAUGGAAUUUGUGCAUUUGCUCAUUUCAUUCGUGUCGUAUAGAUCAUUCCAAAAGAAAAAAUGGAUAGCCUUAACAUAUCUGAAGUAGGGAAAAAUCUAUAUAAUAUUCUUGGAAAAGGUUGCACCAUACUCUUUAAUAGUCGCAAAAUAUCACGUUGCUAAUUGUGCUAAGAACCUCGUUGGAUAUUGGUUGAAGAAAUCACAUUAUCAAUGUAAUGUUUAAAAUUUUGAGUGAAGUGUUUUGAGAAUGAAAUGUAUUUAAAGCUUAUAAGAAUGGCUAACUUCUGAUUGUACUAUUUGAUAUAGAAAAUAUUUGAAUGCCAAGCUUCAUCCAUACUAUUUUUUUGGUAAAUUUAUGCAUUUUUCUCAUAACCAUCCUUGUAAGCCACCAACUCCUCUACACAUGCCACAUGGUAUGUAUGUGAAUAGUCAUCAUGUGGGAUUUAUAUGGCUUCCAUAUCAUGCUUAAUAAUAAUAAAAUCAUUAUUAAUUAUCAACAUUUUUAACUAACUUGGUAAUUCUCUACUAAUCAAAUAAUUAACCAAUUAUUCACAUAAUUAAGAAUUGUCUCGAAUUACUUAAAAUACUACUCCUUUUUAACAUACCUUGUACACUUUAUAGUCAUGUAGUACAUUGUAUGGCACUAAUUCAUAAAUACCGGGUAUUUUAGCUCGGGCCGUAUUUUACCCCAAAUGCCAAACUUUGACGAAAAUUUAUUUUCUUUGACUUUCUUCCCCAUUCACUUUCACGAAUUUACUCAUCACUUGUGAAAUAUCAUAAUCCUUAUAGUCUCCAAAUAAUCUUUUACUUGGACUGAUGCCAAUUACCAUACGACAAAUUCAACAUACAAUACUACAUGGUGCAACAUCGUCGUAACGUAAUAUUUCAAAGCGUAAUACCAUCGUAAUGUAAUACUGCAAGGCAUAACAUUAUCGUUAUAAAAUGCUGCAGGAUGUGACAUCAUUGUAAUAUUAUGGGGUGUAACAUCAUUCCCCUCCUUUGGAACAUUCGUCUUUCAAUGUUGACUGAUGCUCUUAUCAUUUUCACAACUUGUAGCUCUUGUGAAUACCUUAAUACUCUCCUUUCCAUUUAAGUAGUUGCUCUUUGAAUAAAUCCAAAGUCUAGGGUAUUCCCCUCUUUAGUCUUUUUGCUCAUAUUAUGACUUGAGGUCGAAAUCUUUUUAAUCUCGCAACUGCCGCUACCUCCUACCAUGCAUCCUGUAUGACCCUGGCUUUGUAAGCGCGCUUAUGCGAUUCAUUUUUCCUUUUUUCCUUUUAGCUUUUAGUCAAUCUUUAGGCCUUACUUUGUAAACAUAUACAAGGCUUAAUUGGAUGCCUCUCUGGGACUCGAUACUUUGUGGAACUUGCGAAUAUGGCCAUACCUUAUUUCAUAUAUCUUGCUAUCCAUUCGUAUGACUUUACUGUAUCUACAUGGGUUAUACUUAACUUUUACUUCAAUUUAUCAUUACUGAGGUAUGCUUACCAAGCUCCCAGUUACUUUUGUUACUUAUCCUUUAGGUACAAAUCUCAGUCCUUUAAUUCUCCUUCAUUACCGUUCGUCUUAAGAAUCAUGGCCUAAUCUCAUGUCAUACUUUGUAACUUGUAUCCGUCCAUUGUUGAUUCAUCUCAAUGUGGAUCUACAAUCCUCUACUUGAAUACUUGAAACUUCUUACGUAAUACAUUGCCGCUAGGGCUUACGUUGCAUUGAGGAAUAUUUGAAGUGAUUUCCAUAAUCGCAUUUUAUAGUGUCUCAAUGUAAUUCACCUUAUGGGGGGGGGGUAUCCUAAUCUAGUGCCGUUAGUGAAAUCUUUUCCCCUUAUCUUUUUUUUUACAAAAUCAUUAUUCAAACGAAGGUCCAAAUGUCAUUCUUUAUCUACCACAAUUACACCUUCAUCUCUUUCAAAUGAUAUUAGUCUUAGACUCCUUUGAGUUCAUUCAGGCUAUACUGAGCUUUCUAUGACCUAGAGAAACCAUUAGCUUGCUUGUUUUCAUGGGUUUAAUUCUGAGGACUUAUCUAUUCCCAUCACCUUCUCACUCGCCCUUUUGUAUCCUUACUCUUGACUUCCUAAAACCUUGUCGUUUUUCCAUACUUAAGCUCGUGACCUACCUAUAUUUAUUUAUAUUACUCGCAACCUUCCUUCAACUUGCUUGUAUCAUAGGUUUCCUUAUGUCACUCUGGAACAUCAAGAGAGAUAUCACAUCGUCUCUAACUCUUCUUUACUGUCUUAAAUAGCCUCCUCGAUACCUAGAAACUAUAGGCUAUGAUAUAUGUCACUGAAGAUGCCGCUAUCAUUCUUGGAUAUUGAAUCCCCGCGCUUCUAGCCUUCUAUCUGAAGUAUGGACUAUUCACAACUUUCUGCAUUUGAGUAUCUCGUACAUUGGUUGUCCGCGCUUCUAACCGUCUUGGGUAUACCGAGCCCGAGAAGGUUCCGGAUAGUUGUCCACGACCCUGAUUUAUGGUUGGUGCCAGGUACGGGCAUCCAACCAUAUCUCGGUUGGGUAUCUGAUUAAACUUCAUUUGAAAAGUCCUGGAGUCAUCGGGCAUGGUUCGUUUAAGCUUCGGGCGAAGGCCUGUGUUGCUUGUCAUCAAAUCGGGGGUGAUCUUGUUCAUUCCAUCAGGGAAUGAGGUGCGACUUCCUAUGGCAUUUCAUUCUCCCUUUGUUCGGCCUCAGAUAUGUUGGGCCAUCCCGUUGCUGCUUUGGUGGUGUUGGUGUGUGCCUCUACGGAGGAAUCUGUUAGAACGGUAACCGAGUUUGUGAGGUCAGGCGCUAUGCUGCGCCACAUCAUGGUUCCUUUUGAGAGUGUUUCCUCGGGCUUCUUCCACAAGACGGGCUCAAACUCAUCAUCUUGUAGGUCACUGCCUUUUCCCGUGCAUGUGUAAGUGAUGGUGCGCUCGUCGGGAUCCGGGUCCUAUCACACUUAGGGAGUUCCGACAUUUUAGAUUUCCAUGAAAUAGGUUCCAAGACCAAUUCCUCGGGGGAUGACUGCUGUAUGAACUUCCACGGACCUGACUCGAUCCUCUUGGAGAGAUCCCCAAGCAUCUUCGCUAUGGUAGGGUGUGUUAUCGAUCCGUUGUUCCUUGAUCUUCCGGGUACUCGUUCGGCGUGGGGAGCUGUUUCCAGUGCUACUGUGCUGGGAAUCUGCGGGUGGCUCUGCAGCUGAGCGACAACCAACUGUUGUGCCUGCAAAAUCUUAAAAAUAUCGUGAAGACUCACUUCUCGUGCUUCUCGAUCUGGGGAUUUUUGGGCUUCCUGUCGGUCGAUAUGUUGUAUGCUCCCAUCGGUGUGUGAUACUUCGUCGACCUAUUGCAUGCCUUGUGAACCCGCGUCCACUAGAAUUGGCCCAGAUGAGUUAUUGGGGUCUUACGGCAUUGUGCCAACCACUGGAAUGGCCACACCGUUUCUGCUGUGAUUUUCGAGGUUGUCGUUUUCGACUCUAUUUACCGAGCCAGACANNNNNNNNNNNNNNNNNNNNNNNNNNNNNNNNNNNNNNNNNNNNNNNNNNNNNNNNNNNNNNNNNNNNNNNNNNNNNNNNNNNNNNNNNNNNNNNNNNNNNNNNNNNNNNNNNNNNNNNNNNNNNNNNNNNNNNNNNNNNNNNNNNNNNNNNNNNNNNNNNNNNNNNNNNNNNNNNNNNNNNNNNNNNNNNNNNNNNNNNNNNNNNNNNNNNNNNNNNNNNNNNNNNNNNNNNNNNNNNNNNNNNNNNNNNNNNNNNNNNNNNNNNNNNNNNNNNNNNNNNNNNNNNNNNNNNNNNNNNNNNNNNNNNNNNNNNNNNNNNNNNNNNNNNNNNNNNNNNNNNNNNNNNNNNNNNNNNNNNNNNNNNNNNNNNNNNNNNNNNNNNNNNNNNNNNNNNNNNNNNNNNNNNNNNNNNNNNNNNNNNNNNNNNNNNNNNNNNNNNNNNNNNNNNNNNNNNNNNNNNNNNNNNNNNNNNNNNNNNNNNNNNNNNNNNNNNNNNNNNNNNNNNNNNNNNNNNNNNNNNNNNNNNNNNNNNNNNNNNNNNNNNNNNNNNNNNNNNNNNNNNNNNNNNNNNNNNNNNNNNNNNNNNNNAUUUUUGGGCUUCCUGUCGGUCGAUAUGUUGUAUGCUCCCAUCGGUGUGUGAUACUUCGUCGACCUAUUGCAUGCCUUGUGAACCCGCGUCCACUAGAAUUGGCCCAGAUGAGUUAUUGGGGUCUUACGGCAUUGUGCCAACCACUGGAAUGGCCACACCGUUUCUGCUGUGAUUUUCGAGGUUGUCGUUUUCGACUCUAUUUACCGAGCCAGACAUUUUGACUUGAAAUCAAAGGAUAUUGGACAAGAAAAAGUGUGAAAGAUAAUGUGCAUUUGUGCAAUGAAACCAAAAAAAAAAUAAUCACUAUUAUUUUUAGCCCCACGGUGGGCGCCAAACUGUUUACUGUGAAAAUGUAAUAACAAUUAAAUUUGUAAAUGGAAUUCUAAAAAUACGUGAUCCAUUAUUGAGCUAGUUUUUAGAGCAGAUAAUGCUAAAAAUGUGGAGUUUAAUGAUGAAAUGCAAGCUAAAAUGAGGCUGUAAUCAAAUCGAGGGGGCUGUUACCCGGAUGCAGGAUUGGUCGAUGGGGGACCUCUAAGUCAAUGUUCGGGUCGAGCUCGAGCUAUCGGGGGAAAUCGAGAAUCGGAUAACAGUUAGGAUAUGAUUAAAAAAAUCUUUUAAAGUGGCCUCGGGCCAGUGAGAACGAGCAAUUUAGAAAGAAGAGAGAGAGAGAGAGAUAUUAUUGCACUUGGAGAUAUGGAGCAACAUCAAUCCUCUACAAGGUAGUGCAAGUUCCCUUAUAUAGGAGGGGAACUCGGCUACAAGUAUAUAGGCAUUAAUUACAAAGUAUAGAGAUGGGAUUGCUUGACGCCAUGCCUAAGCAUAAACUCUGGAUAGGCCGGCCCCAUCAGACUUAGUCGUGUGCCUUGGGAGCUUCCCCUUCUGUCCUGUCUUUGAUUUUCGUCUUCUUUGAGUCGGGCCUCAACGAUCCCCGAGGUCGGGAACUCGGUCAUGGCUUCCCAUCCUCGGGGUCUCGAGGCAUUCUACCGAAAUGACUUGACAUUGAUAAAUCAUGUUCUCUGAUUUUUCCGCAUACAAUAAGUCUUGUGAAUGCACCUUUGUGAACCUUCCAACAAGUAUGUAAAGGCUUUUUUGUUUUACCUUUGUUUUAAAUUUUGACAUUCGUCAAUGAUUAGCCAGAUGAAUUGGACUUCGAGGUAAAACCCUUAGGUUGAUAAAUCGUCCCUGAGGCUUGUUGGGCUGGCUCGUAGGUUCUUACACAUUUGCCAUUAGGCUUUUAGUUAACUGUUUUGGGCUUAGUUUACGAGUCGAAUUUCGACUCAAGCUCAUUGACACUUAUGUUUUCAAAAUUUUAAGCUAUCUCUUAGGCUCUUAUGCAUCGGGUCGGUAAGACCUCUUAAUAUAGGUUAGUGACAGUGGCUCUUACGCAUUGGGUCGAUACGACCACUUAAUGUAGGCUGGCGACAGUGGAUCUUAUGCAUUAGGUCGAUACGACCUCUAAUGUGGCUUUAUUUUCCCUCAUUUAACGCCAGUCGCUCUUAUGAAUUGGGUCGAUACGACCUCUAAUGUGGCUUUACUUUCCCUCGUUAAAGACUUUUUGAAGUUUUUGUGUUCGCUCGAUUCUUCGACGUCUAGAUAAAAGCCUCGAUUGUGAGCCGUUAUGUAGCGAUAAAUGAGCACCUUGGGAGGUUUCGAUCGAUGGCUGAAUUAUUUUGAAGCCUUUUGUUUUGAGAUGAUAUGAUCGAAGCUCUUUUUAUUAUGUCGAGGGUAGCCUGAUUAACCGGUUCUUUUCAAAGUAAUUUGAAGGCCUGUGAUUUAAUAGCAACGGUCGGGCGUCCCCGAGUCACGCGAGUUUGGCCGGAGCCUUGUGGUCGUAGUCAUUGCAUUUGGCCGUAGCCUUUCAGUCCCCGAGUGAAGUAGUUUCGGCAUUUAUAUCGAGGGUAUGCCUUUUUAGUGGUCUUACAAGUUCAAAUAUGUAGCCUUAACUUUAAGAUCGGGAUGAUGCCUUUUUGCAAGGUCUUGUAAAUUUUAACAUACCUUACUUGAGGUCUUACAGAUUUGGUUACUUAAAACCAGUAUAAUUCACGCCUUGCUUGAGGUCUUAUAUAUUUGGUUACUUGGUACAAGUAUAAUUCAUGCCUUGCUUGAGGUCUUACAGAUUUGGUAUUGCCUUAUGAAGGUCUUAUGAGUUUGAGGUUGCCCGCAUGGGCUUUUAUGGCCUUGGAUCUUCGACAAAUCGAUGGGGGUGACGGUCGAGGACAGUCCCCGAGUCAUCCAAAGUUUCUUGGCUCUGGAGUCGUUCCUUGUAAACUUGGUAUUGCCUCAUUGAGGGCUUAUGAGUUUGAUGUUUUCGACUCGGAGGUCAUGUGGCUUCGAGUUUUUGAUGUCAGUCCUUGUGUGUUCGGAAGAUUAUUUGGCUCUGGAGCCAUUUCUCAUAAAAGUGGCACACUUGAAGUGAGAAGCGUUUUUAUGCAGUAAGAGAUACUCCUUUGAUUACUUGUUACAAGUAUACAUUUUUUUGCCGUCAAGGGCUCAAUUAUUCUAUGCGGACACGGUUCUUUCGACCGUUGGCCCGAUACAUCAUUUUCCUAUCGAGACCCUUUUUGGCUCAUCUUGACUUUUUUACGAAGGUGAUAUUUCGAGGGAUGCCCCCAGUGUUUGAGGUUGAUUGCAGAGAAGCCUUGAACACUUGUUAAGUUCUCCUUAGUAGCGCAUAUAUGUUGUCUCGUUAAAAACCUUGCCGGUAAGACCCUUCUUGUGAUAAAAUCCGAUCGAAGGAAAAGAGUGUAAUGCAUGCUUUAAAACCCAAGGUCUUCAAGCCAGGGGAUGUUUUGGCGCCUUCCAUCAGACACCUUAACAGUAGUAACAUUUGAGCAUUGAUAUGUUCCAAUUGCUUGGAAGUUGUUCGCCUUCCAUGGUACUGCGUUUGUAGGACCCUUUGUCGAUUACUCCGAGGAUAUGGUAUGGUCCUUCCUAGUUUUGGCCCAGUUUUCCUUCAUUAGGUUUUCGAGUAUUUAGGGUGACUUUCCUUAGGACUAAGUCCUCGACUCCGAAAUGUUGGAGAUUUGUUCUCUUAUUAUAGUACCUUUCGAUCCUUUGUUUUUGGGCAGCCAUUCGGACCAGCGAAGCUUCUCACUUUUCAUCCAGUAGUUCGAGGGUCGUAGUCAUGGCCUCAUUGUUUGAGCUCUCGGAGGUGUAUCGGAAUCUGGCGCUUGGAUCUCUGACCUCUACCGGUAUCAAAUCCUCGGCACCAUAUACCAUAGAGAAAGGUGUUUCUCCUAUGCUUGAUUAGGAGUUGUUUGAUAUGCCCACAACACUUUGGGUAAUAUUUCUCUCCAUUUUCUCUUAGCACUUUCCAACUUUUUUUAAGUUUUGAAUGAUGGUAUUGUUUGUGGAUUGGGCCUGACCGUUUGCACACGGGUGGUAGGGUGUCGACAUGAUUCUUUUUAUUUUGUGAUCCUCGAGGAACUGUAUUACUUUGCUUCUGAUGAACUGCUUCCCGUUAUCACAUGUUAUCUCGGAAGGGAUUUCGAAUCGGCACAUGAUAUGGUCCCAUAUGAAGUUAAUGACUUCUUUUUCUCUUAUCUUUCAAAAGCUUGCGCUUCUACCCAUUUUGAGAAGUAGUCAGUCAUAAAUAAAAUAAAUCUAGCUUUACCUAGUGUCAUUGGUAGGGAUCCGACGGUGUCCAUCCCCCACUUCAUAAAUGGCCAUGGAGACAAGACGGAAUGCAGCUGCUCACCGAGUUGGUGAAACGUCGGGGCAAAUCUCUAGCCUUUAUCGCACUUACGGACAAAUUUUUUGGCAUUUUUUUCCAUGUUGUCCCAAUAGUAGCAUGUUCUAAUCACCUUUCAGACUAAGGAAUCGACACCAGAGUGAUUUCCGUAGGCGCCCUCGUGGAUUUGUGGGAGCACAUAAUUCGUGUCCCCCGGCCGCAAACAUAAUGCUAUGGGCCUGCCAAAGGUUCUUCUGUACAGAGUUCUAUUUUUGUCGAGCGAGAAUCGGGCUGCUUUGGUUCGCAUGGCCCUCGAUUCAUUUGGGUCCGCGGGUAGUUUUCCACUUUCCAAAUAAUCGAUAUAUUUAUUUCUCUAAUCCCAUGUUAGGUUAGUAGAGUUGAUCUUGGCAUGACCUUCCUCGAUCACUUAUUUGGAUAGCUGAACAACAGCCACGGGGAGUAGGUCAUCUUCUUCGAUAGAUGAUCCCAGGUUUGCAAGGGCAUCAGCCUCGCUAUUCUGCUCUCGAGGUAUGUGGACCAGAGUCCAUUCUUUGAAGCGGUGCAAUGUGACUUGAAUUUUGUCUAUGUAUCUUUGCAUCAUGUCUUCUCAAACCUCGAAGCUUCCAUUUACCUGAUUCACUACCAAGAGGGAAUCACAUCAUGGUUCGAUGACUUCAGCUCCUAGGCCGUUGGCAAAUUCCAGACCUGCAAUCAUAGCCUUAUAUUCAGCUUCGUUGUUAGUCAACUUUGAAGUUUUUAUAGAUUGCCUGAUUAUGCCGCCUGUAGGGGGUUCAGGACUAUGCCGACCCCGAAUCCUCUUACGUUCGAGACGCCGUCAGUGAACAGGGUCCAUACCUCGAAAGUUGUGCCUAUUUUUAGUAAAAGCUCUUUCUCUACCUCGGGCACGAGGGAGGGAGAGAAGUUAGCCAUGAAAUCCGCCAGAAUUUGGGACUUGAUAGCAGUUCGGGGUUGAUACUCGAUAUCAUAUCUCCUGAGUUCGAUAGCCCAUUUGGCCAGUCGGCCCGAUAAUUCGGGCUUAUGCAAUAUGCUUCGAAGAGGAUAUGUUGUUAAAACACAAAUAUGAUGGUAUUGGAAGUAAGGUUUCAAUUUUUGUGAUGCGCUUAUUAAUGCAAGAGCUAAUUUUUCUAGGUACGUAUACCUAGUUUCGGCAUCUCCCAAGGUCCAACUUACAUAAUAAACUAGGGAAUUGUGUACCUUGUUCUUCUCGAACUAGCACACCACUUACCGCUAUCUCGGAGGAUACGUCCAUGUUUAAAUACAGUGUCUCAUCCUCCUUUGGGGUAUGGAGUAAAAGUGGGCUAGUCAGAUAUCGCUUCAACUCUUCUAAGGCACGUUGGCAUUCCGGAGUCCAUUCAAAGUCUUUUUCUUUUUGAGUAAGGAGAAGAAAUGAUGACUCAUGUCUGAUGAUCUCGAUAUCAAUCGGUCCAAGGCUGAUAUCCGCCUAGUUAGUCAUUGCACGGCCUUCACAUUGUUUACCACCAUGAUUUCUUCAAUUUCCUUUAUUUUAUCGGGGUUGAUCUCGAUUCCCUUGUUUGACACCAUGAAGCCUAAGAAUUUUCCCGAACCCACUCCGAAGGCACAUUUCUCGGGAUUGAGUUUCAUCUUAUAGCUUCUGAGGAUGUCGAAUGGCUCCUGCAAAUGAGUCAAAUGGUCCUCUGCGUGCAAGAACUUAACUAGCAUGUCAUCAAUAUAAACUUCCAUGGAUUUGACUAUUUGAUGUUCGAACAUUUUAUUAACUAGGCGCUGGUACGUGGCUCCCGCAUUUUUUAGCCCGAAGGGCAUUACAUCGUAACAGUAUGUACUGUACUUCGUGAUGAACGAAGUCUUAUCCCUAUCCCUGGGGUCCAUCUGAAUUUGAUUAUACCCCGAGUAGGCAUCGAGAAAAGUGAGGGUCUCAUGACCGGCUGUGGCAUCAAUCAGGUGGUCGAUGUUAGGCAAUGGGAAUGAAUCCUUGGGGCAUGCUUUAUUUAAGUCUUUAUAAUCUGUGUACAUUCUUAACUUAUUUCCCUUUUUGGGAACUACCACCACAUUGGCUAGCCAUUCGGGAUAUUUUACCUCCCUAAUAGACCCUAUUUUGAGGAUUUUUGUUACCUCAUCCUUGAUGAAUGCGUGUUUUACUUCGGACUGAGGUCUCCUCUUUUGUUUUACCAGUUUGAAUCUCGGGUCAACACUUAAUCGAUGGGUGGUUAUUUCCGGUGAGAUUCCUGUCAUGUGUAAAUGAGACCAAACAAAGCAAUCGAUGUUAUUAAUAAGAAAUUGAAUAAGUUUUUUCCUGAGUUUCGGGGUUAGUCCCGUUCCCAGGUAUACCUUCUGAUCUGGGAGAUGUUCGAUAAAAAAAGCUUGCUCUAGUUCUUUAAUAGUCAAUUUCGUGGAAUCCGCCUCUUCGGGGGAAACGAAAGUUCGGGGGGAGAGGAAAUCUUUCUCAUCGUCCUCGGGGGUCUGUUUGCCUCCCGACUCUUCCGAGGUACGAUCUGAUCUAGAAGCCCGAGUUGUUCUACCACCUUUGACUUGAUUACAUUGGCCGAGCUACCUGGAUCUACGAGUACACAUUUAAUUUGAAUGCUAUUCAAGAGAAACGAAUUACCAGCGCAUCGUUAUGUGGUCGAGUCAAGGUCUCGAAAUCUUCCUCGAUGAAUGCAAGGAUGUCUUCGGACAUGUGGCCUCGAAUUAACCCUUCCGUUGCAGCAGACACUUUUACCCAUUGAUCACGGGUCCUUAGGGAAUGUCGGUCCCCCCAAUGAUCAUAUGAACAGCAUGCUGAGGUUUUCCUGCCCCGUUUCUCCUAUCUGCCUCUCUUUCUUCCUGGGUGGGAUUUUUUCGAGCUUCUUGUUGAUUUUCUUGGCGUACUCCUGUUAAUGUGGGCACAAACCUCAAUGCGUUGGGAGUUGCAUGAAACCAUACCCAUAGGGAGAGGUUCUGGUGCACUCUCAGGGAUUUGUGGUAGUACAUCAAUACCUGGAACAGCUACACCAUUUUCUCCAUGGUCCUCAAGAGCGUUAUUUUCAUAUGCGUUCACGGAGUUAGAUAUUUUGACCUGAAAUCAAAGAUUCUUGGACAAAAAAAGUGCAAAGAAUAACUUGCGUUAUGCAGUAAACCAUCAAGAAAACCACUACUAUUAUUUUUAGCCCUACGGUGGGCGCCAAACUGUUUACCUUGAAAAUGGUAAUCAUAAUUAUAUUUGAUUUUGUGGUUCUAAAAAUAAGUGAUUCAUUUUUAUGCUAGUUGUUAAGCAGUAGAUACUAAGCAUGAGACAAAAAAAUGAGAUAAAAACAUGAAAAAGUAUGUUUAAGCAAACCGAGUGGUCGAGAAUCGGGGCCUCGAGGUCUAGCUAGAUACUGAGCUGUUGACAGCUAAUGAAUGGCUAACUAUUUUGAGAGCUUUGAUGAAGGCUCUUUAUGAUCAACAGUGAGCAAUAAAUGAAGAACAAUUAAUGAAAUACAAUAAAUGUAAGCAAUAAACGUAAGCAAUAGAACAAAGGGAGAAUGUGUUUAAGUUAGAGAGCAGAGAAUGUUCUUGUUCUUGUAUCGAAUGUUGUGUAUUGAGUCUAUUAUCUUGUCACGUGUGCAAAAAAAUAACAAGGGUCCCCUUUAUAUAGGAGGGGAAUUUCCAACAUAGUACAUUUGCAUUUAUUAAAAAGAAAUGUAGCUGGUACAGCUAUUUAGAAGUAUGGUACAGACUGGUACUAUUCUUGUAGGUCUUGUGAGAUUUGACCACGUGCCUAGGGAACUUCCCAUUUAUCCAUGAUAACCAUCAAUUUAAGCCGCCCUGAGGUCGGCCACAAAGAACCCUCGAGGUCAAAACCUCGAACCGUACCCCCGAGCCUUCGAGGUGAAGCUAUGAAAAGACAUAGUGAUAGUAAAAUCAGGCUCUCCGAUUUUAUCAAUAUAUAGUACCUGUGAUAAAUGCAUCAAAGGCCUCCGCCUCAGGUCUGGCUAGAAUAGCAUAACAUCGGGGCUGGGCCCCAUCACUCAUCCUGAUGACGACCUCCUACUGGUUGGCCUCCACCUCUAGGUGCCCGACCUCCACCUCUAACGGCCUGACCUCCACCUCUAACACCUCGACCACUACCUCUAGCUGGCUGAACGAGCGGUGGAACACCCGGUGCUGGAAAUAUAACACGAUAACCCUGGUGCUGAGAACUACUCAAAGCUCGAGGGAAAAACCUAGCAAUGUGCCUCAUAUCGCCACAAGUAUAACAAGCCCUCUGCUGCUGGGACUACUAACCUAGAAACUAAUCCUGACGGCCUGAGCAACCACCCUGAAAACUCUGGAGUAGUUGUGCACUAAUAGGAGCUGGUGCUGCACUGUAGGACAACUGAUCAAAAUACUGCAUAUGAGAACCACAGCCACCUGGAGCACCGUGAGAAGCCUGAAGUGCUGAAUGAAACGGCUUAUGAGGAUGGCCCCUACCAAAAGAAUCCUUACCUCCAGAUGAGGCCACACUGAACCUGCCAGAAUGACGAGGCCUCGUGUCAGACCACUAACCAUACCCUUGUAAUAGAACCAUCUCAACUCUUCUGGCCACAUUGGUUGCAUCCUGUAAGGAAAUCUCACUCCCUCUCUCCUUAGCCAUCUGUAAUCUGAUAGGCUGAGCUAGUCCCUCAAAAAAUCUCCUCACUCUCUUGUCACACCUCCUUUUUUCUACACCCCCGUAAAGGGUGUAUAAAGAAAUUUUUUCCAAUUAAAGUGACAAUAGAAACGAGAUUAUUUCAUUUAAAAAAAAUUCAGAGUCGCCACUUGGGAUAAUUUAUGGUGUCCCAAGUCACCGAUUUAGAAUCCCGAAUCGAGGAAAAGAUUGACUCUGUAUUACAGUCCGCGAACACAGAAAUUCGGGUAAGGAAUUCUGUUAACCCGAGAGAAGGUGUUAGGCAUUCCCGAGUUCUGUGGUUCUAGCAUGGUCGCUCAACUAUUAUAAUUGGCCUAAUUAUCUGAUUUUAAAACACUUUUAAACCUAUGUACAUUUCUAACUUUAAAAACCGCUUUUAAUUAAUUUUAGGAAAUAUUCAACGUUAUCUAAAACACGUCUUGAACCACGCCACAUAAAAUGCACCCGCGGUUCACGACACAUUUUAUUUAGCAUUGUUGAGAUUUGGAUUUGGGUCACAUGAAAUGCACACCCGAGUUUAAAGAAGUUAAUUUAAAUUGCGCGCCUAAAGCAACUACGCACUUUCAAGUUUGCGAGGGCCAUAGAAAAUUCAACUAAAUGGCACACCUCGAUUUCUAAAGGAUUAAAAUUAAUUAAUUGAGGGCCAUGAGUCUUGGGGUUUUAUUUGGCAUGGAACACCUCGACUUAUUUUAAAAGGAUUGUAUUCAAUUUAAAGCAAACUACAAAUGUUCAUGAUUAUUGUCCUAAAGCUAAUUUGAGAUUGUUCAAAGUUAUGUAAUUCAUUGUGGCAAAAAAAAUAAGCAAAUUAGUUGUGAAGGUCCAUAUUAGAACUUUUAUUCUCACGUGAUAUGUCACGUAUUGGCUAAUUUUCCAUCUAAUUGAAACAAAAAUUUUCAUCAACAGCCAAUCCCAAACCAAUUGUCCUUUUGCCCAAAAUCUCGAUUUUCCUCCUAACAACAAACUCACUGCCACUCGAGAUUAACAUUACUGGUAAAUGAAAAAGAGUAAAAAACAAAUCAAACCAACAAACUAGAUAAAUCAAACCAACAAACCAGAAAUAACAUUAAGACAAGAUUAAACAUGUUAAUUUCCCGUCUUGAAAAAUAUCGACACACAUAAGCAAGGAAGUAAACACUUUAGCAAAUAUCAAAUUCUUCCUUCAUCAUUAAAACUUGUAAGGCACCAAAAGCGCAUCACAUUAAUUAAGAACGGGUUAAGAAAAAUGGACCUCAAAAUUGCAAUUUCAAUGGUGAACCAUCUCUAAAUAUUUAGAAACCGAAAAAAAUCGGCCAGCGGUCAGGACCUCCAAUGGAACCUCAGACUAGCGACGUCGACCGGCGACGAAAAAUUCAAAUGCGGUUGUCCAAGUUGCGUUUUCUUUUAAGCUUAUUUGGACGGGUUUCAUACUAUUUAGGGAGAAAGAAAAAGCUGGUUUGAACUUAUUUUUAGAGGUCUUUUGCUGCUGCUAAGGAUGGUUUUUGAAUGUGUUUUUGUUUUUUAGAAGAAAAGGGCUCAUUGGUGUGAGAUCCAAGGAAAGGGCAGAGGUCGUUUGGGUUAUCUGUUAAGAAGAAGCUGGAAGGAGGUCCUCCAUUUUUUGUGAAGGAGUAGCCUUGCUUUUUUUUUUAGCUUGGAGACGAUGAUCUCUGAUUUCGCUGACAUCGGCGGACCAUUUUUUGGAAGUCAGGCCAUUUUCUCUUUUUCGGUUUUUGUCUCGUCCCUUUUGAGAAACGGCGGAUCAAUCAUUUUUUUU
rnacentral:lncRNA from 1 species